ensembl:lncRNA
CCCGGCGGUGCCGGCAGUGCCCACACAUCCUCCCCUGCCGCCCACCCGAGGGUCACCUCCAGAUCCCGCCGACCUCCGGAGCUCAUGGACACACGAUGCAAAUGGAGGGCAGGGAGGGGAAGGAGAUGCCUGGAGUGCAGGCACGGCAGCGGGGCAGCUCAGCCUCUGCGACCGCAGCGGCAGUGGAAGGUGUUGGGAAGGAGAGAGGGAAGUGCCGCAGCGGCACGGGGAGGCCCAGGGGGAGCGGGGAUGCGUGGGGCUGGGAGCUGGGGAGCACAGCGGGUGCUGAUGCAGCAGCACGAGUCCUGUGCCAGGGCAGAGCGGAGCCCCUCGUGUCCUGACAGCCCCCAGCCCUGCGCACCCUGCAGGAUUCAACUUUUGCACAGUUCUUUCCUGGGCUCUUUCCAGGUGCCUCCAACCGAACUCGCAUCAUCCCCUACACAGACCUCAAUGACGGAGUAAGAAGAGCUGCUGCAAGUAGCUGUCAGCCCCAAAUACAAAACGCUGCUUCAAAGGACCACGUGAGAAUCCAGAGCUUACAGACCAAGCCAGGCAGCCGCUCGCCACGUUGCAGCUCGCUGGAACAGCCAGUGAUGAACCCGUGAGUACGGUGAUUUGCAGAUGUUGUGUUGUGGUGCAGAGAGAAGGAAGCUGCGUGUCUUUCUGCUCAGCAGGCAGGAAUGGUGGCAAUGCCCCUCCUGUCCCCGCCACAUCUCAUGCCCUGUGCAGGACACCCGUCAGGAUACAGCUUGGAGCAAGAGCCUGACAAAGAGUGAAGAAGGGAUGGCGGGGAUUUCUGGAUCCCAUUCCCCCGGAUCUAACAGGGUUUGGUGCUACAAUUCCUUAAGCAGCUUUGGAAAUCUUGACAACAGCAAACGGAAACCAACAGUGCCGGAUGGACCUCCCUCUGCCGCCACAAUGCCACUGUGCAUUGCCGUAUCAAAGUCACUCAACGCCUUGUGAUGCACCAAACAAUAGCAGAGGGGUGCACGAGCACACACUGCAGCUGCUGGCUGGGCACGAGCUCGCUGCGCUCAGAACCAUACACGACGACCCUAACAGCCAGCAGCAGCGCUCACCCAAAUCAACCCCGUGAUUUACGGAGCUGCCCUCCCCUUCCUCCUGCUCCAGAUGUGCUGCCAGCUGCGGUGACACCGCUGCCGAGACUGAGCUUAAUAAAUCUGCCCGCAACGACGCGGCUGUGGCAGCCAGCGAGCAUCCCGCAGCCCUCCUCGCAGCUCCGCACACAACAAAGCAGGUCCUGCCGGGCUCCUGUGCUGCCCACAGCGGCACAGCUCACAGACCCGGCUCAUCCCGGUGCCCCACCAGGAGGACGAGAGCACAGCUGGGCACUGCCGGGAUGCACGAGUGCUGCUGGGGCUCCUGAGCCGGCCCCUGGUUGCCCACGAGCGCCGCCAUAGCCAAUGCAAUUAGUGGUGACAUCCCUACCUUGAUUCCCGUCAUGGUCUGCUGGAAGUCGCUUUGAGAGCCCGGGCUUCAAACCAGCUUCGCCAUCAUGUGAUGUGACAUCGUUGGGAAUUUACUGUGGAAACAAAAAAACCCCACAAGUGUGAAAUGUGACUGUCGAUAAAGUAAUCCUCAGCAAUCAGACAAAAUUAAUUGUGUGAACAUCAUUGAUCAAACCUACUUAAUACAUCGGGUUUGUAGAAAGCUGGAAUGUAAUUUCAUUACCAAUCUGCUCCAUCCUAAUGAAAUUUCUAAUAACGCUCUAAUUUUGAUUUCGGUUAAGGAGAGAAUGAUGGAAAUUUUCUUUUGCCUCCC